rnacentral:rRNA from 1 species
UUGGAGGGCAAGUCUGGUGCCGGCAGCCGCGGUAAUUCCAGCUCCAAUAGCGUAUAUUAAAGUUGUUGCAGUUAAAAAGCUCGUAGUUGAACCUCGGGGUCUACCCAUUGGUCAGGCUUAAUUGUCUGCACUGGUGAGAUGGAUCUCUACCUUCUGAGGAACUUUCAUGCCAUUUAUUUGGUGUGAUGGGAAAUCAGGACUGUUACUUUGAAAAAAUUAGAGUGUUUAAAGCAGACUAUCGUCUGAAUACAUUAGCAUGGAAUAAUGAAAUAGGACGGACUGAUUCUAUUUCGUUGGUUUCUAGGAUCACUGUAAUGAUUAAUAGGGAUAGUUGGGGGCAUUAGUAUUCAAUUGUCAGAGGUGAAAUUCUUGGAUUUAUUGAAGACUAACUACUGCGAAAGCAUUUGCCAAGGAUGUUUUCAUUAAUCAAGAACGAAAGUUAGGGGAUCGAAGACGAUCAGAUACCGUCGUAGUCUUAACCAUAAACUAUGCUGACUAGGAAUCAGACGAUGUUAGUUUUUUAAUGACUCGUUUGGCACCUUACGGGAAACCAAAGUGUUUGGGUUC